GUCCCAGUUCAGAUCGCAGUCUGCAACCCGACUGCGUGAAGUCGGAAUCGCUAGUAAUCGCGGAUCAGCAUGCCGCGGUGAAUACGUUCCCGGGCCUUGUACACACCGCCCGUCACACCAUGAGAGUCGGGAACACCCGAAGUCCGUAGCCUAACCGCAAGGGGGCGCGGCCGAAGGUGGGUUCGAUAAUUGGGGUGAAGUCGUAACAAGGUAUC
rnacentral:rRNA from 1 species